rnacentral:rRNA from 1 species
CAGUAGCCGCGGGAAUACGUAGGGUGCAAGCGUUAAUCGGAAUUACUGGGCGUAAAGCGUGCGCAGGCGGUUCGCUAAGACAGGUGUGAAAUCCCCGGGCUUAACCUGGGAACUGCAUUUGUGACUGGCGGGCUAGAGUAUGGCAGAGGGGGGUAGAAUUCCACGUGUAGCAGUGAAAUGCGUAGAGAUGUGGAGGAAUACCGAUGGCGAAGGCAGCCCCCUGGGCCAAUACUGACGCUCAUGCACGAAAGCGUGGGGAGCAAACAGGAUUAGAUACCCCUGUAGUCCCUGUCUCUUAUAA